AGCGAACGCUGGCGGCAGGCCUAACACAUGCAAGUCGAACGAACCCUUCGGGGUUAGUGGCGGACGGGUGAGUAACACGUGGGAACGUGCCUUUAGGUUCGGAAUAACUCAGAGAAACUUGUGCUAAUACCGAAUGUGCCCCUCGGGGGAAAGAUUUAUCGCCUUUAGAGCGGCCCGCGUCUGAUUAGCUAGUUGGUGAGGUAAAGGCUCACCAAGGCUACGAUCAGUAGCUGGUCUGAGAGGAUGACCAGCCACAUUGGGACUGAGACACGGCCCAAACUCCUACGGGAGGCAGCAGUGGGGAAUCUUGCGCAAUGGGCGAAAGCCUGACGCAGCCAUGCCGCGUGGAUGAUGAAGGUCUUAGGAUUGUAAAAUCCUUUCACCGGUGAAGAUAAUGACUGUAGCCGGAGAAGAAGCCCCGGCUAACUUCGUGCCAGCCGCCGCCGUAAAAC
rnacentral:rRNA from 1 species